CAUGAGCACAUCAAUGCGGUCGUUUAGGGAUAUUUCCCCCACCCGUGGCUAUGUCUAAGGCAGGUGCCGCCAGAGCACCAAUAUUUCUGGUUCGAAAUCAUGAAGAUGACCCACUAGUGGGACUGUGACGAUGAAGCCAUGUUUCAGGUCAUCCACAUGUUGGCUGGAAAAUACAUCUGGAAGACCUUUUCGGUCACCCGGUCCAGCCUGGUCAGGCCAUUAUGGUUGUCCAACAAGGUCUUGCUCCAGCUUUAGGCAUACUGAGCCAGCAAGGACUUUCAGCAAGAGUCCUCAAAGAAUAAAACGAAUUGGGCGGCAAACCCCGCAGCGUCCUCGACUGUGUACCGAGAGGAUCUUCCUCAGUCGGCAUGCACAAGAGAAAAUUGGAGACAGAGCUCGGACGACCGCCCAAACAAAUGGAGUUAUUCAAGUGCUGCUAUAAGAAAAAAGAGGGCGAGGUUUGGAAUGGCCGAGGGCAGCG